GACGAACGCUGGCGGCGUGCCUAAUACAUGCAAGUCGAGCGGAAGUUGGAGAGCUUGCUCUUCAACUUUAGCGGCGGACGGGUGAGUAACACGUGGGCAACCUGCCCUGCAGAUCGGGAUAACUCCGGGAAACCGGUGCUAAUACCGAAUAGUCUUCGCCACCUCCUGGUGGCGUACGGAAAGACGGUUUCGGCUGUCACCGCAGGAUGGGACCGCGGCGCAUUAGCGAGUUGGUGGGGUAACGGCCCACCAAGGCGACGAUGCGUAGCCGACCUGAGAGGGUGAUCGGCCACACUGGGACUGAGACACGGCCCAGACUCCUACGGGAGGCAGCAGUAGGGAAUCUUCCGCAAUGGACGAAAGUCUGACGGAGCAACGCCGCGUGAGUGACGAAGGUUUUCGGAUCGUAAAACUCUGUUGUGAGGGAAGAACAAGUACCAACUAACUACUGGUACCUUGACGGUACCUCACCAGAAAGCCACGGCUAACUACGUGCCAGCAGCCGCCGUAAAAC
rnacentral:rRNA from 1 species